rnacentral:piRNA from 1 species
UGUCCCUUUCCCAGAUGAUCCAGAAGAGU